AUUGAACGCUGGCGGCAGGCCUAACACAUGCAAGUCGAACGAGUGGCGGACGGGUGAGUAAUGUCUGGGAAACUGCCUGAUGGAGGGGGAUAACUACGGGAAACGGUAGCUAAUAGCGAAUACCAUGCGAUGUGCCCAGAUGGGAUGGGCUAGUAGGUGGGGUAAAGGCCUACAAAGGCGACGAUCCGUAACUGGUCUGAGAGGAUGAUCAGUCACACGGGAACGGAGAAACGGUCCAGACUCCUACGGGCGGCAGCAGUGGGGAAUAUUGGACAAUGGACGAAAGCCUGAACCAGCCAUGCCGGGUGUGUGAAGAAGGUCUUCGGAUUGUAAAGCACUUUUAUUUGGGAUGCCUUACCUCCCGCCUAAGCACCGGCUAACUUCGUGCCAGCAGCCGCGGUACUAC
rnacentral:rRNA from 1 species